rnacentral:rRNA from 1 species
ACUCCUACGGGAGGCAGCAGUGGGGAAUAUUGCACAAUGGGCGCAAGCCUGAUGCAGCCAUGCCGCGUGUAUGAAGAAGGCCUUCGGGUUGUAAAGUACUUUCAGCAGUGAGGAAGGUGGAUAUGUUAAUAGCAUAUUCAUUUGACGUUAGCUGCAGAAGAAGCACCGGCUAACUCCGUGCCAGCAGCCGCGGUAAUACGGAGGGUGCGAGCGUUAAUCGGAAUUACUGGGCGUAAAGCGCAUGCAGGUGGUUUGUUAAGUCAGAUGUGAAAGCCCGGGGCUCAACCUCGGAAUUGCAUUUGAAACUGGCAAACUAGAGUACUGUAGAGGGGGGUAGAAUUUCAGGUGUAGCGGUGAAAUGCGUAGAGAUCUGAAGGAAUACCGGUGGCGAAGGCGGCCCCCUGGACAGAUACUGACACUCAGAUGCGAAAGCUGGGGAGCAAACAGGAUUAGAUACCCUGGUAGCUCUGG